rnacentral:rRNA from 1 species
UGGUGGAGUGAUUUGUUUGGUUGAUUCCGUGAACGAACGAGAUCUCAACCUCUUAAUAGGAGAGGGAUCAACUGUGGUCGCCCGCUUUCGGGUGGGUUGGCCGAUCUCUGCUCCCUUUUAGAGGAACACCGCAUGUUUAACAGUGCGAUGGAGCGAGCCAAUAGCA